AUUGAACGCUGGCGGCAGGCCUAACACAUGCAAGUCGAACGAGUGGCGGACGGGUGAGUAAUGUCUGGGAAACUGCCCGAUGGAGGGGGAUAACUACUGGAAACGGUAGCUAAUACCGCAUACCAUCGGAUGUGCCCAGAUUGGAUGAGCUAGUAGGUGGGGUAACGGCUUACCUAGGCAGCGAUCCCUAGCUGGUCUGUGAGGAUUACCAGCAACAAUGGAACUGGUACACGUUCCAGACUCCUACGGGAGGUAGCAGGGGGGAAGAUGGCACAAUGGGCGCAAGCCUGAGGCAGCCAUGCCGCGUGUAUGAAGAAGGCCUUCGGGUUGUAAAGUACUUUCAGCGAGGAGGCGUUACUCGCAGAAGAAGCACCGGCUAACUCCGUGCCAGCAGCCGCGGUAAUUC
rnacentral:rRNA from 1 species